UCGUCAUUACCAUUAUUGAGAACAGGAUUGAUGAAAGGCAAGUAUGAGCAAAUGAAAAGGAAGCAAUGAAGUUGACGGUUUAUACAAUCAUGAUGGACUAGGAUAUUAAGCUGGAGAAGAAGCAAAUGGGUAAACUACAUUUCCCAGCCUCUCUUAGAGUCAAGGAUGAC